UUUGUCCCCCAUAUAAUGGACAGCCCAUGGUAGAGCCUCUGAUGAUUAAAUCUUAUCAUUUCUGGCAUUAGAAACUGAUGGAAGUUAAAAGCAUGUUUCCUUUAAAAGCCUGAAAAAUCACUUAAAUCCAUUUGAUUCUUAUUCCUAUAAUAAGCCCCAGAUUCCAGGUGGUCAGUCCUCAUUGUUCUCAUAGUGCUGUGUAAGUUAGCCCUCAAAAGUGCCCUCUGGAUACUGGCAAAUUUGACCACAUCUUCUAGAUAAAAAGGGGUGCGGAAGUGUGCCAACAUGCUGCUGUUCCUGCCAGCAAAUCUAAGAGACUGUUGACACUGUUGCACUGGGCUGUCCAAAGAAAUGUUUGUGAUCAUGCACCUGCCACCGGAGUUGGGAAAUGCUGUGACCCACGUGCCAUGCUCAAAGAACCAGAUCAUGUGAUUUUGAGUUUAUCAAAAAGAGAAUGUUCAAAACUUAAAGGAACCAAGACAAUUUUAGUCACAUUUUAAACUCCACCUUCAAUCAGCUAGAAUGAGAUCUUCAGCACAAGAAAAUAAAGAAGCUCAUACAUGUAAAGAAGCUGUAUACAUCUGAAUAUCAGUCCAGAAAUUCUGAUAUCAUCACACCACAAAUGAGGAUUCUUUUAGCAAAAAGCAUUCCAUUCACAAUACAUAUCCAUUUACUACUCAGCCUUCUGUGGUCAAUGGAGCCUCUACAGCUUAUGAAAUUGCAAAGACUGAGAAAACCCCCAAACUUAAUGGUCUGCACAAUAAUUCCAGAAUAAAUGCCUACAAGAACUGAGAGUGUACACUAGCAUUUCAGCCCAGAAGGAGGGAUUUUAACCAGUCAGAGCACAACGACACAAUUUUCCAUUCAUUUUUCAAGUUACCAGCCAGUCCCAUUUCAGAGCAAGAAGUACAGUAAUAAAUAGCAAACCUAAACAGGUUUAUCUGGAGAUCUUAAUAAAUAAAAGUUGCCUGCUUCAAAAUAUAUUAGUGCAGGGUUGGAGUUAGUUAUGAGAGAUUGUUUUUUUCAUGAAUUAUAAGAUGUGCAUUAGAAUCUUGAAACUGCUGAAAACAGCAAAGAAUAACCGUGGCUUAGUGCUCAAAUUCAUCUGGAUUCAAAUCCC
rnacentral:lncRNA from 10 species